rnacentral:misc_RNA from 1 species
AAAGUCGUAACAAGGUUUCCGUAGGUGAACCUGCGGAAGGAUCAUUACUGAUUUAGCGGACCGAGCGUUAGCGAGGUUCUGCGGUCAUUUAUAUUUAAAACCCAGUCUUGAACGUAUAAAAUUUAUGUAUUAAUGAUAAAAUAAAAAGAUCACUUUCAACAACGGAUCUCUUGGCUCUC